UGGGGAAUUUUGGACAAUGGGCGAAAGCCUGAUCCAGCAAUGCCGCGUGUGUGAAGAAGGCCUUCGGGUUGUAAAGCACUUUUGUCCGGAAAGAAAUCCUUGGCUCUAAUACAGUCGGGGGAUGACGGUACCGGAAGAAUAAGCACCGGCUAACUACGUGCCAGCAGCCGCGGUAAUACGUAGGGUGCAAGCGUUAAUCGGAAUUACUGGGCGUAAAGCGUGCGCAGGCGGUUUGCUAAGACCGAUGUGAAAUCCCCGGGCUCAACCUGGGAACUGCAUUGGUGACUGGCAGGCUAGAGUAUGGCAGAGGGGGGUAGAAUUCCACGUGUAGCAGUGAAAUGCGUAGAGAUGUGGAGGAAUACCGAUGGCGAAGGCAGCCCCCUGGGCAAUACUGACGCUCAUGCACGAAAGCGUGGGGAGCAAACAGGAUUAGAUACCCUGGUAGUCCACGCCCUAAACGAUGUCAACUAGUUGUUGGGGAUUCAUUUCCUUAGUAACGUAGCUAACGCGUGAAGUUGACCGCCUGGGGAGUACGGUCGCAAGAUUAAAACUUCAAAGGAAUUGACGGGGUCAUAGCUGUUUCCU
rnacentral:rRNA from 1 species